AAAGAAAUAAAUAAACAAACCAUAUUCUUACCUGUGACGUCUCUUAUCAUAAAAGUGAUGCUUAUAUACAGAGUAGGCAAAGCAUGCUAACCAAAUCCGGCAUGAUAAUAUUACCUUGGGCAUUAUUCAGCUAAUUACGGUUAUGUAAUUUGUAUAUUCAAGCAUGUUCAUAUAAGAAAAAACUUAUUUAAAAGUACUUCCAAAUGUCAAAUUGCAGGCAAACGGAGGAUAUUGUGAAAGUGAAAAAGAAACUUUUCUAGACAAUGAAGUCGGCACGCCUAAUUAUUAUUUUUUUGCUGCUUAUGAUUUUACAAGUAGGGUUAAAUGUAGGAUUUUAUGAAGUAAUGGCAGAGGACAGUGAUGGAAACAGCGUAGGAGUUAUUGUCAAACGAAGUCUGUUUUCGUCUAUAAUAGGGGGAUCACGGCAAUUUGGAAUUUAUAAUUUACGAUUCAGGAGAAGAAGACGUCCCAGUUCAAGAAGAAGAUGGGGUUAACUUUGCAAUUCCUCCUCAAUAAAACAUUUAUGAUGAAAA